GUCAGAUGAUUUGAGUUGGUACGCUGAUGCUCUGUGAGGCUGUCGGUUAAAGCAUGUUAGAGUUCUGAUGGCA